GGGGAACCCUGGAAGCAGCCUCUACCUGAAAAUGAUGACACCGUUGUGGUAGAAAUUUCUCAUCUAGGCCAAGUCAAGAUGCUUGCUACCCACGACUGCAGAGCCAAAAGUAUACAUGAUCCCUCAAGUCAAUUCAGUCAUGACGCUGAUGAGGUCGAUAGUGAUGAAGAAAAUUCGGUCAAUGAAGAACGGAGGAAAUUCGGGGCAGCAGACACUUUCAAAAUUCCAGAUGAGGUUGAUGUUUCUAGUCUCAGUUAAUUCCAUAAUUCUUCUUUGUUCUGCUACCUCUAUAGUACAUUUGCUGUAUAGUAGGCAUAACAAGGCUCCAUGUCGAAUUUAUAAGACAUGGAUAUUUUAGAGGUUUUGCAUAGAGAAUUUCGUGAACAUUUGGUGUAUAGGAGGAAGUUUGCUGACUUGGUGUAUGAUAAAGGAGAUGCUAGAAGUCACCAUUAUAACCUUUAACAGGCUAGAUUUUAUUUAGCCAGAACAUUAUUUGGCUUUUAAAGUUGUAUUCUCUACUAAAAGUGACCAGAUAUAUUUUUCAUUA
rnacentral:misc_RNA from 1 species